rnacentral:rRNA from 1 species
GAUGAACGCUGGCGGCGUGCCUAAUACAUGCAAGUCGAGCGAACGGACGAGAAGCUUGCUUCUCUGAUGUUAGCGGCGGACGGGUGAGUAACACGUGGAUAGCCUACCUAUAAGACUGGGACAACUUCGGGAAACCGGAGCUAAUACCGGAUAAUAUUUUGAACCGCAUGGUUCAAAAGUGAAAGACGGUCUUGCUGUCACUUAUAGAUGGAUCCGCGCUGCAUUAGCUAGUUGGUAAGGUAACGGCUUACCAAGGCAACGAUGCAUAGCCGACCUGAGAGGGUGAUCGGCCACACUGGAACUGAGACACGGUCCAGACUCCUACGGGAGGCAGCAGUAGGGAAUCUUCCGCAAUGGGCGAAAGCCUGACGGAGCAACGCCGCGUGAGUGAUGAAGGUCUUCGGAUCGUAAAACUCUGUUAUUAGGGAAGAACAUAUGUGUAAGUAACUGUGCACAUCUUGACGGUACCUAAUCAGAAAGCCACGGCUAACUACGUG